UGGGGAAUCUUGGACAAUGGGCGCAAGCCUGAUCCAGCCAUGCCGCGUGAGUGAAGAAGGCCUUCGGGUUGUAAAGCUCUUUUCAGACGGAAAGAAACGGUUACGGCUAAUACCCGUGACUAAUGACGGUACCGUAAGAAGAAGCACCGGCUAACUACGUGCCAGCAGCCGCGGUAAUACGUAGGGUGCGAGCGUUAAUCGGAAUUACUGGGCGUAAAGCGUGCGCAGGCGGUUUGGUAAGACAGAUGUGAAAUCCCCGGGCUUAACCUGGGAACUGCAUUUGUGACUGCCAGACUAGAGUGUAGCAGAGGGGGGUAGAAUUCCACGUGUAGCAGUGAAAUGCGUAGAUAUGUGGAGGAAUACCGAUGGCGAAGGCAGCCCCCUGGGCUAACACUGACGCUCAUGCACGAAAGCGUGGGGAGCAAACAGGAUUAGAUACCCAUGUAGUCCCUGAGCGGGCUGGCAAGGCGCAU
rnacentral:rRNA from 1 species